UUUCUUACCAGAAUACCAUCGGAGCUCCUCUGGAACAUGUCCUUGUCUUCUCAGAGUGUGAAGUGUGUGUGUGACAGUGCUUUUCUGAGGACUCAGGUGACCUGGAGGCUGGAGAACAGCAUGGAGCAAGGAAAACAAAGACGAUGUGCUGGAGUGUAUGUUGCUUUCAUAAUUAUGUGAAAGAAAAUGUAGAGAAAUUUGAAAGGUGCCUGCCCACAGGUUGUCAGCCCUGCACCAGUAUGACGGACCUGGAGGUGAGUUCUGGUGGCCACUUAUUUUUCUUUGGAACUGAUGGCCAUCCCUGGUGCUGCCCCUGACCAUGGGGCACUGUCAACCCAUAAUGCUUAGGACUAAUUGCAUGGAGAAAUGAUUCCUUGAAAGACGUCUUUAAACUGAUCUGGUUCAUCAAAAACAGGAAGUCAAAGGUCUGAAUACUCUUCCUGUGAAUCAACAGAGAAAGCUUUCUCAUCUGAGCCCAUGAAUACGCAGCCUAGGGCCACUGACUUGUAAGAAUGGAGAGUUGCAAGCUGGACCCUGGGGUAUCAGACAGGCAGAAUCCCUUGCAGCUAGAGUCAUGGAAGCGAAGAAGUUUCCACAAUUAGAUGUGCCUAUGCAAGAUUUGAAAAGAGGAAAUGUGACAAAAGGGCAGAGUUCUGCAGCUUUGACUACUUUUGCUGGCAUGCAAGGUCUUGAAGAUGCUGUGCUUUCCUGCAGCCAAAUUCUACUGUAUAGCCACAAGCUUCAUGUGAGUAGAGAAGCAAUUGUAGCAGCAUGUUGGUAGUUUCUGUAUCUCACAGCUCCAGGUUGUGUUCUGGAAGUCAACCAUUCCUGUGGCACCCCACCUUCUAACUGGGGUAGAGGGAGCAGCUGCCUUGAAGGCUGGUUCACAGUGUCGUACUGGAAGGCAUUCCUGGAUCCAACCUUUAGCCUACCCUUCCAGCCCGUCCAAUAGUUGUAUGAACACUGAAUUUCCUGUACUAAAUCCCUUUCAGUUUAAAAUAGCUAAAAUCAUUUCUGUUUUCCACCACUGAGUUCUGACAGAUAGAUUUAUCAAAGGCAGCAUAAAAAAGGUGAUUUCAACUCUUUUUUACCUCAAUUAAAAAGUGUUUUGUGACUGUUGCUAAUAACUUCAUCUCAAGAGCACUGUAAGGACUUGAGUUCUAGUCCUGUCUCUGCUGCCCAUAUGUUUGUGUGUGUGACCUUGAAUAAGUCACUUCAGCCUUCAAAGUUCUUUUCCUUAUCUAUCAAACUGGGCACAUAAUGCCUGCUUUGUAUGUGUGCCCAUAAGUGGAGAGAAUGUGAAUGAAAGUGGGCUUUGGGCAAUAAAAUGUGACUGCUGUCUUUUUGCCUUAAUAUAAUAUAGUCUCCCUAUGAAAUCCUAUCUCUUCCUCAAGGAAAGUACUAGUUAGAAAAUGUCUAUUCAUCACAAAGUGAGAAAUAAAUAAAAUAACCUGUC
rnacentral:lncRNA from 10 species